UGGGGGAUAUUGCACAAUGGGCGAAAGCCUGAUGCAGCGACGCCGCGUGGGGGAUGAAGGCCUUCGGGUUGUAAACUUCUUUUGCUCUGAACAAGGCGCACCAUGGGGUGUGUUGAGUGUAGGGGUUGAUUAGCGCCGGCUAACUACGUGCCAGCAGCCGCGGUAAUACGUAGGGCGCGAGCGUUGUCCGGAAUUAUUGGGCGUAAAGGGCUUGUAGGUGGCUGGUUGCGUCUGUCGUGAAAGCUCAUGGCUUAACUGUGGGUUUGCGGUGGGUACGGGCUGGCUUGAGUGCAGUAGGGGAGGCUGGAAUUCCUGGUGUUGCGGUGGAAUGCGCAGAUAUCAGGAGGAAUACCGGUGGCGAAGGCGGGUCUCUGGGCUGUUACUGACACUGAGGAGCGAAAGCAUGGGGAGCGAACAGG
rnacentral:rRNA from 1 species